AGGACUCCCAGACCCCUCACCUUCUGCCUCCCCUGGUCGCGUCCGGGUCCUUGCGGAGCUAACUAGCUCGCCACGACGUCAAGAACGACGUAACGUCAGGCCGCUGUGGGCUCUGGGAAUUGUAGUCCAGAGCUAGAUCGGCCACGGACAGAAUGGCGUUCUCUUAUCUCUGAGUCGGGGCCUGGCUCGUUUUGACAUUUUUGCGCCCACGAGUCUUCGGAGAGGGCGUCGCCACUCCAGACCUUCCAGCAAGCUUGAAGUCAUCUGACGCUAAAGGACUACUUACCUCAAGAGCUCCAUCGUCACAGAAGGAGGCGGCCAAGUUCGCGGGGGGAGGGGAGGAGACAGAGAGUCGACCAGUAAAGCCUCAAGGGAAAUGUAGUCCAAGGCCUGAGAAGCGACGUUGCUGGUAAUAGAAGUUAAUAUGAUCCUCUGUUGAAGCAAGAAGACAAACUGUAUGGUGGAGAAAGAAGUGGGAAGGAUCUGCGCGGAAGAAGCCUGAGAAGAUGAUGCACAGAUAGAGAGGCACCAGGACUUGAGAGGCACCAGGACUUGGGAGGCAUGUUGAUCCAUCUCCAGGAAAGACUGAGAAAAAGAGCGUUGAAUAUAAGAAAAAAUACUUCCUCUGUUCUCAGAUCGUAUUUGUUUUAAGGCCACACCUUUUUGAAGUUUUCAGUUUGAAACACAACCUGGACUGAAAU
rnacentral:lncRNA from 1 species